UGAGGAAUAUUGGUCAAUGGCCGAGAGGCUGAACCAGCCAAGUCGCGUGAGGGAAGAAUGUCCUAUGGAUUGUAAACCUCUUUUGUCAGGGAGCAAAGUCACCCACGUGUGGGUGUUGGAGAGUACCUGAAGAAAAAGCAUCGGCUAACUCCGUGCCAGCAGCCGCGGUAAUACGGAGGAUGCGAGCGUUAUCCGGAUUUAUUGGGUUUAAAGGGUGCGUAGGCGGGUUAUCAAGUCAGCGGUAAAAUCGUGGAGCUCAACUCCAUCCAGCCGUUGAAACUGCUGAUCUUGAGUGGGCGAGAAGUAUGCGGAAUGCGUGGUGUAGCGGUGAAAUGCAUAGAUAUCACGCAGAACUCCGAUUGCGAAGGCAGCAUACCGGCGCCCGACUGACGCUGAAGCACGAAAGCGUGGGUAUCGAACAGG
rnacentral:rRNA from 1 species